AUUGAACGCUGGCGGCAUGCCUUACACAUGCAAGUCGAACGGCAGCGGACCUUCGGGUGCCGGCGAGUGGCGAACGGGUGAGUAAUAUAUCGGAACGUACCUUUCAGUGGGGGAUAACGUAGCGAAAGUUACGCUAAUACCGCAUAUUCUGUGAGCAGGAAAGCAGGGGAUCGCAAGACCUUGCGCUGAUUGAGCGGCCGAUAUCAGAUUAGCUAGUUGGUGAGGUAAAGGCUCACCAAGGCAACGAUCGGUAGCUGGUCUGAGAGGACGAUCAGCCACACUGGAACUGAGACACGGUCCAGACUCCUACGGGAGGCAGCAGUGGGGAAUAUUGGACAAUGGGCGCAAGCCUGAUCCAGCAAUGCCGCGUGUGUGAAGAAGGCCUGCGGGUUGUAAAGCACUUUAAGCAGGAAAGAAGGACUUCAGGGUUAAUACCCUUGGGAUUGACGUUACCUGCAGAAUAAGA
rnacentral:rRNA from 1 species